UGGGCUCUGUGUUAGAACCAAACCAGCCCCAGAUGUACGGUUGUUCUUGGUCAAACUGCACUCUGGAAGAGAACAGGAAAUAACGGCACAUGACUGCGGUAACCAGAAGUUAGCACUGGGAGGACAGCAAGAGGAAGUAGAUCUGGUUGGCUCAAGGAACAGAGGAGCUAGAAGAACACCUUGCGUCUGGUCACCCAGCAGAGCACAGCACUCCCUCGGCUCACUGAGGAGGUUUGGAGGAAACUGAACCUGAAAAAAAGUUUCAUGACUCCACAGUUGGGCUAAACAGGUAAAUCACUAGUUACCCCAGAGGCAAUCCAGUCCUGCAAUGACCAGGCCAUCAGGUUGGGGAGGGUGCCACUCCACUGCCCAAGAUUCAGCCUUUUCUUCCCUCUGCCUGUCCCUGUCCCUCUCUCUCU